rnacentral:rRNA from 1 species
AGUGAACGCUGGCGGUAGGCCUAACACAUGCAAGUCGAACGGCAGCACAGUAAGAGCUUGCUCUUACGGGUGGCGAGUGGCGGACGGGUGAGGAAUACAUCGGAAUCUACUUUUUCGUGGGGGAUAACGUAGGGAAACUUACGCUAAUACCGCAUACGACCUACGGGUGAAAGCAGGGGAUCUUCGGACCUUGCGCGAUUGAAUGAGCCGAUGUCGGAUUAGCUAGUUGGCGGGGUAAAGGCCCACCAAGGCGACGAUCCGUAGGUGGUCUGAGAGGAUGAUCAGCCACACUGGAACUGAGACACGGUCCAGACGCCUACGGGAGGCAGCAGUGGGGAAUAUUGGACAAUGGGCGCAAGCCUGAUCCAGCCAUACCGCGUGGGUGAAGAAGGCCUUCGGGUUGUAAAGCCCUUUUGUUGGGAAAGAAAAGCAGCAGGUUAAUACCCCGCUGUUCUGACGGUACCCAAAGAAUAAGCACCGGCUAACUUCGU